UCAGUAUCCACUUUAGGGCAGGGGGACACUAGCCUGGUAAAAACAGAACACUGCACUGCACUUUGUUUCAGUUUACUUCAGUUCACAACUCCAACCCUGUUCCUGGAGAGAUACCAUCCUAUAGGUUAACUCCAACCCUGUUCCUGGAGAGAAACCCUCCUGUAGGUUUUCACUCCAACCCUGUUCCUGGAGAGAUACCAUCCUAUAGGUUAACUCCAACCCUGUUCCUGGAGAGAAACCCUCCUGUAGGUUUUCACUCCAACCCUGUUCCUGGAGAGAUACCAUCCUAUAGGUUAACUCCAACCCUGUUCCUGGAGAGAUACCAUCCUAUAGGUUAACUCCAACCCUGUUCCUGGAGAGAUACCAUCCUAUAGGUUAACUCCAACCCUGUUCCUGGAGAGAUACCAUCCUAUAGGUUAACUCCAACCCUGUUCCUGGAGAGAUACCAUCCUAUAGGUUAACUCCAACCCUGUUCCUGGAGAGAUACCAUCCUAUAGGUUAACUCCAACCCUGUUCCUGGAGAGAUACCAUCCUAUAGGUUAACUCCAACCCUGUUCCUGGAGAGAAACCAUCCUAUAGGUUAACUCCAACCCUGUUCCUGGAGAGAUACCAUCCUAUAGGUUAACUCCAACCCUGUUCCUGGAGAGAUACCAUCCUAUAGGUUAACUCCAACCCUGUUCCUGGAGAGAUACCAUCCUAUAGGUUAACUCCAACCCUGUUCCUGGAGAGAUACCAUCCUAUAGGUUAACUCCAACCCUGUUCCUGGAGAGAUACCAUCCUAUAGGUUAACUCCAACCCUGUUCCUGGAGAGAUACCAUCCUAUAGGUUAACUCCAACCCUGUUCCUGGAGAGAUACCAUCCUAUAGGUUAACUCCAACCCUGUUCCUGGAGAGAUACCAUCCUAUAGGUUAACUCCAACCCUGUUCCUGGAGAGAUACCAUCCUAUAGGUUAACUCCAACCCUGUUCCUGGAGAGAUACCAUCCUAUAGGUUAACUCCAACCCUGUUCCUGGAGAGAUACCAUCCUAUAGGUUAACUCCAACCCUGUUCCUGGAGAGAUACCAUCCUAUAGGUUAACUCCAACCCUGUUCCUGGAGAGAUACCAUCCUAUAGGUUAACUCCAACCCUGUUCCUGGAGAGAUACCAUCCUAUAGGUUAACUCCAACCCUGUUCCUGGAGAGAUACCAUCCUAUAGGUUAACUCCAACCCUGUUCCUGGAGAGAUACCAUCCUAUAGGUUAACUCCAACCCUGUUCCUGGAGAGAUACCCUCCUGUAGGUUUUCACUCCUACCCUGUUCCUGGAGAGAUACCAUCCUGUAGGUUUUAACUCCAACCCUGUUCCUGGAGAGAAACCAUCCUGUAGGUUUUCACUCCAACCCUGUUCCUGGAGAGCUACCAUCCUGUAGGUUUUAACUCCAACCCUGUUCAUGGAGAGAAACCCUCCUGUAGGUUUUCACUCCAACCCUGUUCCUGGAGAGCUACCCUCCUGUAGGUUUUAACUCCAACCCUGUUCCUGGAGAGAAACCAUACUGCAGGUUUUAACUCCAACCCUGUUCAUGGAGAGAUACUGUCCUGGAGGUUUUAACUCCAACCCUGUUACUGGAGAGCUACCCUCCUGUAGGUUUUCACUCUAACCCUAAUCUAGCACACCUGAUUCUGGUAAUUAGCUGGUUGAUAAGAAUCAGUUUAGUUACAACGGGCGUUGGAGAAAAAAUCUAGAGGAGGGUAGCUCAUAGGAAUAGAUUAGAAUCAGUCUAUUUCAGUAGUGUAGCUCUCCAGGAACAGGAUUGGACAGCCCUGGCUGACAAGGUUCUAAAGUCAAAUGUUACUAAUGAU